rnacentral:lncRNA from 1 species
UCAAUCAAAGAGUAAGAGUAUGUUCUCGAAAGUUUGACAUACAUCCCUAUGAUGCAUUCCUAGUACAGAUUGGAGGUAUGUUCACGAAGGUUUGACCUACAUCCCUAUGAUGCAUUCCUAGUAAUGGGUAGAUGUAAGUUCGUAGAAUGGUCUCAAGACGGUUGUCGUUCAAGCCGAGGUAUCGAUGGUUGGUGAAUAACAUGAUCCAACCACUAAAAGAGACUUGGAAAUGUCUCCGGAGUUAAAUUACUAUAGUCCAAUGACUUGACUAAAGCAUGUUUCAGAUAGACUCC